UACGUAGGGUGCAAGCGUUAAUCGGAAUUACUGGGCGUAAGGCGUGCGCAGGCGGCUUUGCAAGACAGAUGUGAAAUCCCCGGGCUCAACCUGGGAACUGCAUUUGUGACUGCAAGGCUAGAGUGCGGCAGAGGGGGAUGGAAUUCCGCGUGUAGCAGUGAAAUGCGUAGAUAUGCGGAGGAACACCGAUGGCGAAGGCAAUCCCCUGGGCCUGCACUGACGCUCAUGCACGAAAGCGUGGGGAGCAAACAGG
rnacentral:rRNA from 1 species